GUCAGGAUGGCCGAGCGGUCUAAGGCGCCAGACUCAAGGGUUCACCUUGCCCUGUGCCAGGGUUGUUGAGGCUUCUGGUCCACGAAUGUGGGCGUGGGUUCGAAUCCCACUUCUGACA
rnacentral:tRNA from 1 species